rnacentral:tRNA from 1 species
UUAGCUGAAACCAAAAAGAGGUAUAUUAUUGUUAAUAAUAAAAUUGAAUAAAUUAUUCCAGCUAAG